UUUAUGGAGAGUUUGAUCCUGGCUCAGGAUGAACGCUGGCGGCGUGCCUAAUACAUGCAAGUCGAGCGAACGGACGAGAAGCUUGCUUCUCUGAUGUUAGCGGCGGACGGGUGAGUAACACGUGGAUAACCUACCUAUAAGACUGGGAUAACUUCGGGAAACCGGAGCUAAUACCGGAUAAUAUUUUGAACCGCAUGGUUCAAAAGUGAAAGACGGUCUUGCUGUCACUUAUAGAUGGAUCCGCGCUGCAUUAGCUAGUUGGUAAGGUAACGGCUUACCAAGGCAACGAUGCAUAGCCGACCUGAGAGGGUGAUCGGCCACACUGGAACUGAGACACGGUCCAGACUCCUACGGGAGGCAGCAGUAGGGAAUCUUCCGCAAUGGGCGAAAGCCUGACGGAGCAACGCCGCGUGAGUGAUGAAGGUCUUCGGAUCGUAAAACUCUGUUAUUAGGGAAGAACAUAUGUGUAAGUAACUGUGCACAUCUUGACGGUACCUAAUCAGAAAGCCACGGCUAACUACGUGCCAGCAGCCGCGGUAAUACGUAGGUGGCAAGCGUUAUCCGGAAUUAUUGGGCGUAAAGCGCGCGUAGGCGGUUUUUUAAGUCUGAUGUGAAAGCCCACGGCUCAACCGUGGAGGGUCAUUGGAAACUGGAAAACUUGAGUGCAGAAGAGGAAAGUGGAAUUCCAUGUGUAGCGGUGAAAUGCGCAGAGAUAUGGAGGAACACCAGUGGCGAAGGCGACUUUCUGGUCUGUAACUGACGCUGAUGUGCGAAAGCAUGGGGAUCAAACAGGAUUAGAUACCCUGGUAGUCCACGCCGUAAACGAUGAGUGCUAAGUGUUAGGGGGUUUCCGCCCCUUAGUGCUGCAGCUAACGCAUUAAGCACUCCGCCUGGGGAGUACGACCGCAAGGUUGAAACUCAAAGGAAUUGACGGGGACCCGCACAAGCGGUGGAGCAUGUGGUUUAAUUCGAAGCAACGCGAAGAACCUUACCAAAUCUUGACAUCCUUUGACAACUCUAGAGAUAGAGCCUUCCCCUUCGGGGGACAAAGUGACAGGUGGUGCAUGGUUGUCGUCAGCUCGUGUCGUGAGAUGUUGGGUUAAGUCCCGCAACGAGCGCAACCCUUAAGCUUAGUUGCCAUCAUUAAGUUGGGCACUCUAAGUUGACUGCCGGUGACA
rnacentral:rRNA from 1 species